UGAAAGAAAAAAAAAAAUAAAAAAAAAAAUCAGACACAAGUGAAGCAACGUCGUUCUCUUUUUUUCUUCUUUU
rnacentral:ribozyme from 1 species